GUCGCAGGGUAAUCAACCCAAGCUGCUGCUACUGAGAAUACAACCUGCUUUUAAUCAGAGCACUGCACAGGGGUUUGAGCACUCUGUAAGAACUUCAGCAAGCGAGGUUUGACUGGAUCUGGAGGCAGAGAACACUAUUAAUUGGAGCAACGGGGCAACAGCGUGAUUAAGUCCAAACUGUAGUAAACAGCGGAGAGCUUACUGUGGUCGGAUGGGAAGAUGGAGUUUUCGAGGAGGGGGAGGUUGACCUGGGCAGCGGGGUGAGGCGUGGUAAGUGGCCUCCAGAGUUUGUGGCAGGAGCCAGACUGAGGGGGAUCUUGGGAUACCACAAGGAGAACAUUGGAGAGCGGACAGGCAGAGAGUCAAGGGAGCAAAGGGGCAACUUGAAUGCGGUCUUGCAGUUGGUCCAACAGAAGCUGUCUUGGAGGAUUCUGGCCAAGGAGGGAUCCACGAGACUUCUUAGAGGAAGGCAGCAACCUUGGAAGGAGUAGAGAACUUCUGGUUAAGCAUCAGGCGAAGAUGGACUGUCUCACUGCUCCUUAUAUCUCCCACAACCUGAUGAGUAGAAAGCCAGCAGGUGUGCAGCCUGGUGCCUGGAACCAUGCCCCCGACGAGGCUCCUCUCAGCAAUCAGCGUCAUUCAGUCCACCUGCACCAUCCCAAUCAGUCUCACUGUUUCAACCGGUUUGCUCCUCACUGGUUUAUUCUGUUGUCCAUGCCUGUUUGUCAUACCAAGCCUGUCCAUGACUGUGUGUAAUGUUAAGCCAAGCCUGUUUAUGUCCUCAACUGCUGCCACGUCAAACCUGUGCAUGUUCAUACCAACAUCUGCUACCUCCAGUCUGCUGCUUGGUGAUCCCCCAGACUGCUGCUGAGGUGUACCCCAUCUGCAUGCUGGCAGCAGUACCAUUAUUUCCCUUUCACCAGUGUGGCAGCCAUGGAUUCUAUCAGUGCACGACUUGUACAAGUAGGUCAUAAAUUUAAAUGUGAAAUUUAAUUUAAAAGUUAAGAACUCAAACUGGUAAACUGGUAAUCAUGUGUAAUGUAUAUGUUGGGAACAAACAUCUUUGACAUGCCUCCCUUUGCUGUGCAAUUAUCUAUCUAAUCUAUUAUUUCUUCUUCUCAACUUCAAGGUUUGUGUUUUUGUUUGUCUUGUGUAAACAACGCUGGUUAGACUCCCUUGCAAAAUAACCUGAAAAUAGUCCUUAGUUUAGAGAUGCAAAUCAGAUACCAUCUCUAUUAGCUAGUUGCAGUGAAUUGCCAGACUUUCUUACAGUGCUUACACUGUGUAUAACACUGGGAAACUUCCCACUCCCCACUGUCUGAUAAUGUGUAAGUGCAAUUGAAAACUCAAACCGGGUGCAACUUACUUAACUUUUUAAUUUUUUUUAUUUGGUUGAGCCCCAUGCCAUCCUUCUGGGCUGUGCAACCCUGGGCAGUGACCCAUAUCAUCUAUUUUAAAAGCCACCAGCAAUCACAACAGAAUCAUAUUUAUGCAUGUUUAAAUAACUUGAUCUUAAAUCUUUGAGAAUUAGGCACAGUUCCUGCCUUUUAUAUGACAAAUGGGAAAUAACUAUUUAAUAUUUUGCUUUCAUUUCCGAUAUUAUAUCUAAAGUAUGUUUCGGAUUAUGAUUAAUAAAAAAUAAUGAUAAUACCAGUAAUAAAAGAUUAUUUUCUGAAACCACUUUUCUCUACUGCAAAUACUUCUGAAUAUUUACUUUCUGUAUGCAGGAUGUCAAAGUUUUAUACUGCAGGUCUCAACGGUAAAAUCCACCAACUAACAAACAGUAUGUACCUGCAUAUGAAUAACAAUGAUCUGCCAGUCUAUGAUAUUCAGAAUGAGCUGAAAACAUAUUCUGAACAAAAUGUAGUAAGAACUACAACUCCCCCUUUCACCAAGAAAUGCAUGUCACCAUAGCGAUGUCUGUAACAGAUCAAUUUAUUGUUAACAAUCACUGUUUUGGUAUAGCGCACUUCAGCGAAUGGAGUAAAGAAAACACAGAUUAAAAGAAGGUCUAGCUAACAAUAGUAACAAAAAGGAAAUAAAUAGAAAAUUAUCUGAUUAAUGUCUAAUAAUUCCAGGUUCAUAUGAAUACAUAACAUCUACAGUAUAAGUUAAUUAAUUGAAGCUACUGUAUAAAUACAUCACCAGCAUGCACAAUAUUGUUUUAAGGAGAAUAUUGGAGUGGUUAUCAUCUCACACUGAAGAGACAGUAUAGUAGGCAAAUGCAUUUCCUUGACCAAGAAGAAACUGAAAACAAAGUUAAUCACAAACCUCAAAUCUGCUUGUACAGCUUCCAAUUUAACAAUGUGUGUGCUCUGCUCACAAAUAGUUCGUUACUUAGGUUUGUGGUUCCGGGUAACUUUUCAGAGAUCCUGUCGAAUCGUAGUAAAGACAGCAUUGCCUGGAGGCGGAUUUUCAGUCAGUGUUCUUUGAUUUCGUUUUGUUCAUCUGGAUCAAAUUGUUUCCCAUAAACACAAGGAGCCAAUCGAUGAUGUUACAGUAAUGACAAUACUGACAAUAAGAGUUAGGUGUCCAAAAACAGGUCAUUUAUUUAAGAAAGCACAUCAGCACAUGAGAGGGACAAGCUGCACUAUGUUUUUUUUUUUUUUUACUGUAUGAGUUUGCAGUUUUAGUCACAGUAUGACUGACUGUGUGACUGAGCUGGACACAUAC